UGUGGUAAAUUAACAAAGAAUUAGAUAGAUGCUUUAUGCAAAAUCUCACAAAGAUGUAAAAAAAUACAAAGGAGUUCAGGUUUGCUAGUUUGUAAAAAUAUUUCAUGGAAUCAUGGUAAAUUGUUAUAUUAUAUGUCCAAUGACAGCCCAUAUAUUUUCUAACUACUUGAACCUUUCUUGUUAUAAUUCUUAUUAUUUUUUGUUUUAGUUGAUGUGUGAUGCUGAUAAUACAGAGACAGCUAGAGUGACAGAGUUUGAUGAAUAAACUUAAAUUAAAAAACAGAAAUAACCACCAUCUCUCUCAGAGGUCAUCUUUCUCAUUAUUGUGGGGAAACCUCAAAGGGCAUCAGGAAAACCUUCAUCAACCUCUUUGUGCCCAGUGGCUUGUGCAACAGUGUUUCAGAAAUUAUCAUUAAAAUGGGGAUAAUGGAUGACUGGCCACACAUAUGGGGCUAUGGACAAGCUUCAGAGCAGGCUGCCAGGUGGUGGUGUUAGUAGUUUAUACUCCGGGUCCCGGCGUGAGCACAUUGAAGGGUCCCAGAGUGACAGUUCAACCACCGCACACCUAUCCUGGGCAGAACCAGUACUAGGUGCCUUCACCUCUGCAAGGAACUGACAGCUUCUGUACAUGCCAGGUGCAGUGGUACAGUGCGAAUGGUCGUAGAAAGGAUUUCAUAACCAAUCACAACAGAGGUGACCUGGUCCGCCCGGGAAUCGAACCCGGGAUGUCCAAUUCAGAGUCCAACGCUCUACCGAUUGAGCUGACCGGGCGGACAUAUUAGCUACAUUAGAUGACAAGCCAUCUAUGCUGGACAUUCUUCACAAUAAAAUGUGAUGUCACAGGAGCUGUCUAUCUCAACAGCUCACACUGUCCGUAUUUGACUAAAGGAAUGAAUGAAGUCACUGCAGAAGUUAGAUUGAGGAAUGUCCAUGUCACUACCCAUCAUUUGGAAGGAGUUGGAUAAAAAAAGUGUGGCCUAUGUAUUGAAACAGGUCCGAUUUCCAGUUACGGACAGUCUUGAUUUGUCUGAUUACAUUUUUGACCAACAUGAUGGUCUAAAAGAACACUUACUGGUAACUGGUAAAAUCAUGGCCCAGUUGUUCCAAGAGGCAGGCGAGUGGGAAGUUACUAGACUCCAUUUCUUUAUGGGUUGAUCUGAGGUUCCAGUUCAGUUAAAGUACUGAUAGAACACCAAGUGUUUGCCAUAAUACAGCAACAUUUGAUUUGUAACUAUGUAUUUGUUUGAAUUGUUGAAACAGUACUGUUUACUAAAUAAUGUGUAUGUAUAUGAAGAAUAAUAUUAUAAAUAAUUUGUAAGAACCUGAUAUUAAGUAAAAUGUCGAUAAGUCUAAAUAUGUAUCUGCGAAUCAUUUUUGUAUAUCUGUAAAGAUUACAUUGCCUAUAUUCCUCAAUUUAUAUUUUUCUUUUAGCCAGUCAAUAACUUUUCUUAAGUUCUAUCUUCAAAAUUGUCGGGACAGGGAUUAUAGCCCUUAAUUAACCCAAAUAUGUAACAUUCAAUGCAAAAUUUCUAAUUGGCUGCAUUUAGGCAGUUCAGAUGCAGGAACAAACAUCACUUGGGUCCUUAAUAAUAGCUUUCCAUCUGACAUUGAAGAUCCAAUAAAAGGAAUUUGUCAUGUGACUGUUUAUUAACUCUCAAUUUAUUGAAAGUGAAAUUACUUACAUGAUUUGUAAGAACUAAAUUAUAAUGAUAUCAAAUGAUUGUUUAAAUUAAAUAAAAUAGAUGAUUACAUACAUGAA